AUGCAAACGCUGCUUAUUUUAAGUAGAGGAAAGUCCACGCUCACACAGUUCUGUAAUGGACGUAGUGUUCAUGCAAAGGGAAAAAAUAACCUUUGGCAGGUAUUAUGCCUGACGGCGCAAAUAUAACCUAAGUUUUUUAAUAUGGUUAUUAGUAGCAUAAAGUGCCACAGUGACGAUGCCUUUUAGAAAUAAAAGGAGUGGAACGGGUAAACCCCAUGAGUGAGAAACCCAAAUUUGGUAGGGGAGUCUUUAUGAAGGAAUAAAAACGGAUUAAAGGAUACUUUUAUAGUAUAGAUAAAUGUUUGCAACCAACUUAUGUUGGUACAGAACGUGGCUUAUU
rnacentral:RNase_P_RNA from 1 species